rnacentral:piRNA from 1 species
UAGGAAAAGAGCCGAAAAGCCCAG